UGGAUUGUGGAUGUACCACAGGGCUGGCUACU
rnacentral:piRNA from 1 species